GACGAACGCUGGCGGCGUGCCUAAUACAUGCAAGUUGAGCGCUGAAGGUUGGUACUUGUACCAACUGGAUGAGCAGCGAACGGAUGAGUAACGCGUGGGGAAUCUGCCUUUGAGCGGGGGACAACAUUUGGAAACGAAUGCUAAUACCGCAUAAAAACUUUAAACACAAGUUUUAAGUUUGAAAGAUGCAAUUGCAUCACUCAAAGAUGAUCCCGCGUUGUAUUAGCUAGUUGGUGAGGUAAAGGCUCACCAAGGCGAUGAUACAUAGCCGACCUGAGAGGGUGAUCGGCCACAUUGGGACUGAGACACGGCCCAAACGCCUACGGGAGGCAGCAGGAGGGAAUCUUCGGCAAGGGACGAAAGUCUGACCGAGCAACGCCGAGUGAGUGAAGAAGGGUGUCGGAUCGUAAAACUCUGUUGGUAGAGAAGAAAGUUGGUGAGAGUGGAAAGCUCAUCAAGUGACGGUAACUACCCAGAAAGGGACGGCUAACUACGUG
rnacentral:rRNA from 1 species